GAUGAACGCUGGCGGCGUGCCUAAUACAUGCAAGUCGAGCGAAUGGAUUAAGAGCUUGCUCUUAUGAAGUUAGCGGCGGACGGGUGAGUAACACGUGGGUAACCUGCCCAUAAGACUGGGAUAACUCCGGGAAACCGGGGCUGAUACCGGAUAACAUUUUGAACCGCAUGGUUCGAAAUUGAAAGGCGGCUUCGGCUGUCACUGCAGGAUGGGCCCGCGGCGCAUUAGCUAGUUGGUGAGGUAACGGCUCACCAAGGCGACGAUGCGUAGCCGACCUGAGAGGGUGAUCGGCCACACUGGGACUGAGACACGGCCCAGACUCCUACGGGAGGCAGCAGUAGGGAAUCUUCCGCAAUGGACGAAAGUCUGACGGAGCAACGCCGCGUGAGUGAAGAAGGUUUUCGGAUCGUAAAACUCUGUUGUCAGGGAAGAACAAGUACGGUAGUAACUGCCCGUACCUUGACGGUACCUGGCCAGAAAGCCACGGCUAACUCCGUGCCAGCCGCCGCAGUAA
rnacentral:rRNA from 1 species